UACGUAGGGGGCAAGCGUUGUUCGGAUUCAUUGGGCGUAAAGGGUGCGUAGGCGGCGCGGUAAGUCGGGUGUGAAAUCUCGGAGCUUAACUCCGAAACUGCAUUCGAUACUGUCGUGCUUGAGGACUGGAGAGGAGACUGGAAUUUACGGUGUAGCGGUGAAAUGCGUAGAUAUCGUAAGGAAGACCAGUGGCGAAGGCGGGUCUCUGGACAGUUCCUGACGCUGAGGCACGAAGGCCAGGGGAGCAAACGGG
rnacentral:rRNA from 1 species